rnacentral:rRNA from 1 species
AUUGAACGCUGGCGGCAGGCUUAACACAUGCAAGUCGAGCGGAGUGAUGGUGCUUGCACUAUCGCUUAGCGGCGGACGGGUGAGUAAUGCUUAGGAAUCUGCCUAUUAGUGGGGGACAACAUCUCGAAAGGGAUGCUAAUACCGCAUACGUCCUACGGGAGAAAGCAGGGGAUCACUUGUGACCUUGCACUAAUAGAUGAGCCUAAGUCGGAUUAGCUAGUUGGUGGGGUAAAGGCCUACCAAGGCGACGAUCUGUAGCGGGUCUGAGAGGAUGAUCCGCCACACUGGGACUGAGACACGGCCCAGACUCCUACGGGAGGCAGCAGUGGGGAAUAUUGGACAAUGGGGGGAACCCUGAUCCAGCCAUGCCGCGUGUGUGAAGAAGGCCUUAUGGUUGUAAAGCACUGUAAGCGAGGAGGAGGCUCUUUUGGUUAAUACCCAAGAUGAGUGGACGUUACUCGCAGAAUAAGCACCGGCUAACUCUGUGCCAGCCGCCGCCGUAAAAC